CUUUGAUUUGCAACUUAGGGAUGCCAGUAUGAGAAUGAAAAUUCACAAGAAGAGAGGAAAUACUGAGGAGAAAAUGGCAGAUUGUGUUUGCUGAAUUUGAUUGACGAAGAAGUCACCAUGAAAAUCACAGUGAACCAUUUGGAAAGCAAACUGCCAAAAAAUAAUAGUUAGUCAUGCUCUCAGGCUGGUUGUUUUGGCUGUUGUGGGUUUCUUGCAUUUCCAGAUGAUUGCAAAGAGCUGUUUCUCAAUUUCUGCAACAAGUGCCAGCUGAAAUUUUGGUACCAGUUUCAUUAAAUAUGUAGAACAAUUUGAGCCUGAGUGAGUUCUGUGGAGCCCAUACUACCUGCGAUUCAAGCCAGCAACCUUGGAAUCUCCCUGAACAAUUUCUAUGGUGUCCAAUCACAUUUGCAAUCACUCCCCACACUCAAUUUUUCACAUGCUAUCCACAGCGCCUAGAGAUCCAAGCUUUUGUGAACAGGGGCUGACUUGUGAAUGUGAAC
rnacentral:lncRNA from 1 species